rnacentral:rRNA from 1 species
UCGGUUGAUCCUGCCAGAGGCUACUGCCAUCAGAGUUCGAUUAAGCCAUGUUAGUCGAGGGUGCUUCUUCUUCGGAAGAGGUAACCGGCAGACGGCUCAGUAACACGUGGACAACUUACCCUUGGGACCGGGAUAACCCCUGGGAAACUGGGGCCAAUACCGGAUAGAGCAUCGGUUGCUGGAAUGCACGAUGGUCUAAAGCUGAGGCGCCCAAGGAUAGGUCUGCGGCCGAUUAGGUUGUUGUUGAUGUGACGGAUCAACAAGCCUACGAUCGGUACGGGUUGUGAGAGCAAUAGCCCGGAGAUGGGUUCUGAGAGAAGAACCCAGGUCCUACGGGACGCAUCAGGCGCGAAAACUUUACAGUGUGCGAAAGCACGAUAAGGGAACUCUGAGUGCCUCCUAAGGAGGCUGUUCGGGUGUCUAAAAAGCAUCUGAAGGAAGGGCUGGGUAAGACCGGUGCCAGCCGCCGCGGUAACACCGGCAGCCCAAGUGGUAGCCACGCUUAUUGGGUCUAAAGCGUCCGUAGCCGGCCAAGUAAGUUCUUUGGGAAAUUUGACCGCUUAACGGUCAAGCUAUCAGGGAAUACUGCUUGGCUUGGGACCGGGAGAGGUCAGAGGUACUCCAAGGGUAGGGGUGAAAUCCGUUAAUCCUUGGGGGACCACCGGUAGCGAAGGCGUCUGACCAGACCGGGUCCGACGGUGAGGGACGAAGGCUAGGGUCGCGAACCGGAUUAGAUACCCGGGUAGUCCUAGCUGUAAACGAUGCGGGCCAGGUGUUGGCAUUACUGCGAGUGAUGCCAGUGCCGAAGGGAAGCCGUUAAGCCCGCCAUCUGGGGAGUACGGUCGCAAGGCUGAAACUUAAAGGAAUUGGCGGGGGAGCACCACAACGGGUGGAGCUUGCGGUUCAAUUGGAUUCAACGCCGGA